CUUAAACUAAUAGGUUUAAAAACCAAUCUAUUCUACCGAACUGAAGGCAUUUAGGAAACAAACUUUAGGUUUGGAAUGGACACUUAUAUUUAGGAACUUGAUCUUUUGGAACAAUUGAUAAUGAAAGUGAGGUAAAAUCUUAAAUUGCUUUUCUAUCCUUUCCACCUUAUUAAAUUCAACCAACUCUUCUCUACUAUUAACCAUCCAUAACGUUUAAGCUUAAAUAACUAUUUUACAAUUUUUUGGAAUUCUAAUUUUUCAUCAUAUAAUUAAUUGUUUUUCUCGUCAUUGCCAACGUCGAAUUUUAGGUGUUUUUCUUUUAUGACUCUAUAAUUAUUUUUGAAAGUUCAUAAAAAAAACAAGUCUAAUUAUUCUAAUAAUAAGUUGACUUUUUCUUAUUCCCUCCUUCUAAUAAUAAAUAAAUAAAUAUGGAAAAUAUGUGAAGCAAAACCAAAAUAAAUCAAUAUUAAUGAAUAUCCAUACAAUUUAAGAAUGUUAAUUAAAGAAAUAAAAUUUAUAAUCUUACUAUUUAAUUCAUAUGCUAAAUUUUGGAAUCUAACUCAAUAAGUAGAAAUUUAGAAAGCAAAUUUGUUAUUUACUAUUAUUAUAUUUUUAAAAACUUAUAUUUGGUCCUUACCCAGACCGAGUAAACACCCACAGUGAGUCCCUGAUAGCGUCUUAAAACUAUGAGUUAAGACCGCACAGGACAUGAAUUGGUUGCGCUAAGACUGCACACAAUGAGAUUUGGAGACGUUAAGUAUAGCGAUAUGCAAGCUGAGAUAAGGACGUGACAGAAGCCAUGUGACGUUUUGAUACUAGAUGAUCCUCACCGCUGGAAAGAAGUAAUCAUUCUGUCAUAGAAAGCCUCAGCGAAGAAGGCCUAUAAAUAAGAGAAGUCUGACAAGCUUAAGAGCUUAUUUUUACCUUGUGUUUAGUUAAAAGAGUUGAAGGAAUUUGCAAAGAUGGAAGCUGCCACGAGUUCAGAUUCCGCAAGAAUUUGCAAGGAUUUUAGCUAAGAGUUAUUGUUUAUAAACUAUCUUUGAAUUAUAGUAGUGAUAAUUUUACUUUAAGUAGUAUUGUAUCACUUAAAGUAUAUAGAGUAAUGAUUUGAUUUUGUAAACUCUAUACUUAACAUCGUAAGAUUACACUUAUGAUUUAUAUCUCAAAGUAAUAAAAUCUCAGAUCAAAGACCCCCUAGACAUAGAUUCAGUGUCAUCGAACUGGGUUAGCAAUGUCUAAUGUUUCUACUGUCUCUACUUAUCUGCACUGUUAGUUGUUUCUACUGUUGAUUAAUUGAGGGUUCAUCCUUUUUUAUUGUUGUUGAUGCUUUCCUUAUUUUAUCACUUGGUAUUAGUGAAAGGUUUUCUACAUUCUAUGGAUUUUGUACAUGAAGAAACUUCAGCAAUAAAACCCUCAGUUCUAAUGGGGUAGACUAUGCCUACUAGAAAGUUGUGAUUGCUAGAUGGGAAAGUCACUCUUAAACCUAAGAUAACCUGGUCUAAAGAAAAGGAUGAAGCAUCUCUCAAAAACUCUAGGGCUUUAAAUGUAAUAUUUAAUGGUGUAGAUCAGAAUGUCUUCAAACUGAUCAAUACAUGUUCCUCUUCAAAGAAGGCCUAGAAUAUUCUGGAAACUGCUUAUGAAGGGACAUCCAAAGUUCAAAUAUCCAAACUUCAGAUUUUAUCCUAAAAAAUCCAAGGCUCUCAAGAUGGAUGAAGACGAAAUAAAAACUCACUCAUACAAAUCUGGUAAGGAAAGUACUAAGAUCUCUUCCUUCUCGAUUUAAUAUGAAAGUCACAACUAUAGAGGAAGCAAAUGAUAUCACGACCAUGAAACGGGUGAGUUGUUUGGGUCCUUGAGAACAUUUAAACUUUCACUGGAGGACAAUGGUUUGAAGAAGAAAAGUGAUACUGCUUUUCAAGGGAUCAGUGAGGAAAUGUCAAAGUCGAACCUAAAACAUUCUCAGGAUGAGAAUUUAGCUGAGACAAUUGCUUUACUGUCAAAACGAUUUUUAAAAUUUAAGAGUAAGUUCUAUAAGAAGUUUGGAGGAUUCAGAACCCCAUCCUAGUAGAAAUUUUACUAGUUCCAACAACCUCGGCUUAGAAUCCUCAAGCUCAUUUGUAGCAUCUCAUCGGAAAGAUGGUGAUCGAAGUACUAGUCAGAAAAAUAAGAGUGUCAAAUGCCAUGAAUGUGAAGGAUUUAGGCGCUAUCAAGCAAAAUGUGCUACAUAUUUAAAAAGAAAGAAAAAUGGACUUGCUAUUACUUUAUUUGAUGAAGAGACAUCUUCUGAUAGUGAUUGUGAAGACUUUGGAAGAGCUUUAAUCCACUGUGAAAUAGAAGAAAAAAUAGAAGUUACUGAUGGUAAAUUGUUUCCUAUAUCAGAAGAAGAAGGGUAUAAAUUAGAUACUGAAAUAUCUUCUAUCCCUACUGAUAGAAUCUAUCCACUAAUUUCAAAGAAUUAUUAUUUCUCUGGAAAAAAAAAAUCAAUAAGUGCUUAAAGGACAACAAGAUCGCAUUUUAACUCUCUUCGAAGAUAAUUA